rnacentral:misc_RNA from 1 species
GUGAAUCUUCAAAAGUCGGCUCUGUGGAUUGUGCUGGUGGAGACACAUGUGCACGUCCGCAAGGUCGCAAACCCCACACACCUGUGCAUCUAUGACUCUGAGUGCCGCUUUGCAUGGCCUUGACCGGCCUGGCGCUCGAGUAUUUUUCACACACUCUCGAAUGUAACGGAAUGUCUUGUUGUGCGUAAUGUACAAACCAAAAA